AAACCCUGGUGCCACGAUUAAAAGUAUGCUAAUAAACAUCUAUAUCUAUCUGCCCGUCAGUCCAUAGAUAGAUGGCAGGGUGCACCACUCCUAAUGAUAAAAGGGGGACAGGAGGACACUAGAAAAGAAGACCACAAACUUCACAUUUUUAUAAAUUUUAUAAAAAUUUGGUCUCAUCAUCUCACUGAAUUCUAAACAUGUUCAAAGCCACUGUGACUGAAGUAGCACUGGCUUUUCAAUCACUGGACAAUAUUUGCGUAUAACAGAUUACAUAAACAUUUUUAAAGUUCCAAUAUAUCUGAUACGGCUGUGAAGCCACCCAAAAUCUCGAAUUAUAAUCCCCUAAUUCCCAUGUGUUGAGGGCAGGACCAGGUGGAGGUAACUGGAUCAUGAGGGCGGUUACCCCAUGCCGUUCUCGUGAUAGUGAGUGAGUCUCACGAGAUCUGAUGAUUUUAUAAGUGUCUGGCAUUUCCCCUGCUUGCAUGCACUCCGUCCUGCCGCCCAGUGAAAAAGGUGCCUGCUUCUCCUUUGCCUUCCCCUGUGACUGUAACUUUCCUGAGGCCUCCCCAGCCAUGCGGAACUAUUUUAUAGAUGGCAAAACAGUCUUAGAGGUGAACUAUCUUGGCCAAGAUCAGAAAAUUGGUACGCAGAGGACCCAAAACUUCUAACAGAGGAAAGUCAGAGCAGAGAGGAGAGAAUCACAUGGCAUUUUUUCCUGAUAAUUCUAGAGGGAAGGAGCAUUACCACCACCAUGUAAG
rnacentral:lncRNA from 1 species